AUGUGUUGAUGUCGAUACCUUAUGGUACAUGAAUGCAAGGGUGACGUCAAAUGCAGGGUAGCCAAGUAAGGUUGAGCCAGUACCUGAGAUGAUCCACACACCAAAGCCGUGCCCUUACACAUAUCACAAGGCCAUAUAUGAAUAGGCAAGAAAAGUUUGGUCAGUGGAGUAAAGAAGAGGGAGAAAAGAGGAAGAAGGAGAGAAGGAAGAGGGAAGAGGCUUUCACCUUGGAUUUCGGAGCCGCAUCUUACCUUUUCGUCAUCAGAAUAGUGUCCGGUGUCUUGAGAUCUACAUCUUGAGGUUUCAAGAAAUUCAUCUUCUCACUUCGGAUCUUACCCGUGCAGCGAGUGCAGAUUCUUCC